UACGAGGGGGGCGAGCGUUGUUCGGAAUUAUUGGGCGUAAAGGGUGCGUAGGCGGUUUGAUAAGUCUGAUGUGAAAUCUAUGGGCUCAACCCAUAGUCUGCAUUAGAAACUGUCGGGCUGAGUAUGGGAGAGGUGAGUGGAAUUUCCGGUGUAGCGGUGAAAUGCGUAGAUAUCGGAAAGGAACACCUGUGGCGAAAGCGGCUCACUGGACCAUUACUAGACGCUGAUGCACGAAAGCUAGGGGAGCAAACAGGA
rnacentral:rRNA from 1 species